AGAGUUUGAUCAUGGCUCAGAUUGAACGCUGGCGGCAGGCCUAACACAUGCAAGUCGAACGGUAACAGGAAGCAGCUUGCUGCUUUGCUGACGAGUGGCGGACGGGUGAGUAAUGUCUGGGAAACUGCCCGAUGGAGGGGGAUAACUACUGGAAACGGUAGCUAAUACCGCAUAACGUCGCAAGACCAAAGAGGGGGACCUUAGGGCCUCUUGCCAUCGGAUGUGCCCAGAUGGGAUUAGCUAGUAGGUGGGGUAAUGGCUCACCUAGGCGACGAUCCCUAGCUGGUCUGAGAGGAUGACCAGCCACACUGGAACUGAGACACGGUCCAGACUCCUACGGGAGGCAGCAGUGGGGAAUAUUGCACAAUGGGCGCAAGCCUGAUGCAGCCAUGCCGCGUGUAUGAAGAAGGCCUUCGGGUUGUAAAGUACUUUCAGCGGGGAGGAAGGGAGUAAAGUUAAUACCUUUGCUCAUUGACGUUACCCGCAGAAGAAGCACCGGCUAACUCCGUGCCAGCAGCCGCGGUAAUACGGAGGGUGCAAGCGUUAAUCGGAAUUACUGGGCGUAAAGCGCACGCAGGCGGUUUGUUAAGUCAGAUGUGAAAUCCCCGGGCUCAACCUGGGAACUGCAUCUGAUACUGGCAAGCUUGAGUCUCGUAGAGGGGGGUAGAAUUCCAGGUGUAGCGGUGAAAUGCGUAGAGAUCUGGAGGAAUACCGGUGGCGAAGGCGGCCCCCUGGACGAAGACUGACGCUCAGGUGCGAAAGCGUGGGGAGCAAACAGGAUUAGAUACCCUGGUAGUCCACGCCGUAAACGAUGUCGACUUGGAGGUUGUGCCCUUGAGGCGUGGCUUCCGGAGCUAACGCGUUAAGUCGACCGCCUGGGGAGUACGGCCGCAAGGUUAAAACUCAAAUGAAUUGACGGGGGCCCGCACAAGCGGUGGAGCAUGUGGUUUAAUUCGAUGCAACGCGAAGAACCUUACCUGGUCUUGACAUCCACGGAAGUUUUCAGAGAUGAGAAUGUGCCUUCGGGAACCGUGAGACAGGUGCUGCAUGGCUGUCGUCAGCUCGUGUUGUGAAAUGUUGGGUUAAGUCCCGCAACGAGCGCAACCCUUAUCCUUUGUUGCCAGCGGUCCGGCCGGGAACUCAAAGGAGACUGCCAGUGAUAAACUGGAGGAAGGUGGGGAUGACGUCAAGUCAUCAUGGCCCUUACGACCAGGGCUACACACGUGCUACAAUGGCGCAUACAAAGAGAAGCGACCUCGCGAGAGCAAGCGGACCUCAUAAAGUGCGUCGUAGUCCGGAUUGGAGUCUGCAACUCGACUCCAUGAAGUCGGAAUCGCUAGUAAUCGUGGAUCAGAAUGCCACGGUGAAUACGUUCCCGGCCUUGUACACACCGCCCGUCACACCAUGGGAGUGGGUUGCAAAAGAAGUAGGUAGCUUAACCUUCGGGAGGGCGCUUACCACUUUGUGAUUCAUGACUGGGGUGAAGUCGUAACAAGGUAACCGUAGGGGAACCUGCGGUUGGAUCACCU
rnacentral:rRNA from 1 species